rnacentral:misc_RNA from 1 species
GAUGAAGAACGUAGCGAAAUGCGAUACUUGGUGUGAAUUGCAGAAUCCCGCGAAUCAUCGAGUUUUUGAACGCAAGUUGCGCCCGAAGCCAUUCGGCCGAGGGCACGUCUGCCUGGGUGUCACGCAUCGUUGCCCCCCCAAACUCCGGUUCGGGCGGGGCGGAAGUUGGCCUCCCGUGCGUGCCUGCGCGCGCGGUUAGCCCAAAAGCGAGUCCUCGGCGACGAGCGCCACGACAAUCGGUGGUUUUUUUCCCCUCGUUCCUCGUCGUGCGUGUCCCGUCGCCCGAACGCGCUCUUGCGACCCUCACGCGUCGCCUCGGCGGCGCUCCCAACGCGACCCCAGGUCAGGCGGGACUACCCGCUGAGUUUAAGCAUAUCAAUAAGCGGAGGA